rnacentral:lncRNA from 1 species
UGGUCGUUCGUUCUCCCGGCUAUUCUUCCUGGUUGGCUUGCCCCCGUGUGUGGUUCUUCUCUUUGGACGUGUUCCCCUAGGAGAGGUGAAUUCCUGGGACGUUUGGGCUGGCGUGUGGAGGUGUUUGAGGACUAUUGUGGGGUUUCGGCUAUCUGGCUGUGCAACAGAUAUAUCCGCGAUCGAGUGGAGAUAUUCAGGACAGAAAGAGUGUGAGUUCUGGAAAGCAAGUGAAGACAGACCGCGCCAUCGCUAUCGGAGGGAAGUUAAGAGACCUGAUCUGGGAUUUCGAUCAAUUGUAUACAUCUGGACUGGGAGUGAUAACGUUGUGAAGUGGACGGAGUCAUCGUUGGAUCGCAGGAUCCUCUGGGCCGAAUGCCGCAUGUGAUGUCCCUAUGAAAGGAGGUGGACACAAGAAUUAUUCCUUUCCCGGUCACAACCGAAGCCUCUCCCAGCCGUAAGCCCCACUACUUAUUCAAGAACGCAUACUUGCUGUUGAUUACCUACUCUGCUGUGCAGAUCGCAGGAUCCUCUGGGCCGAAUGCUGCAUGUGAUGUCCCUGUAGAAAGAGGUGGACACACGAAUUAUUCCUUUCCCGGUCUUAACCGAAGCCUCUCCCAGCCGUAAGCCCCACUACUUAUUCAAGAACGCAUACUUGCUGUUGAUUACCUACUCUGCUGUGCAGAUCGCAGGAUCCUCUGGGCCGAAUGCUGCAUGUGAUGUCCCUGUAGAAAGAGGUGGACACACGAAUUAUUCCUUUCCCGGUCUUAACCGAAGCAUCUCCCAGCCGUAAGCCCCACUACUUAUUCAAGAACGCAUACUUACUGUUGAUUCCCUACUCUGCUGGGCAGAUCGCAGGAUCCUCUGGGCCGAAUGCUGUAUGUGAUGCCCCUGUAGAAAGAGGUGGACACACGAAUUAUUCCCUUCCCGGUCUUAACCGAAGCAUCUCCUAGCCGUAAGCCCCAUUACUUAUUCAAGGACACAUACUUACUGUUGAUUACUUACCCCGCUGUGCAGACCACAGGAUUCUCUGGGCCGAAUGCUGCAUGUGAUGUCCCUGUAGAAGGAGGUGGACACGAGAAUUAUUCCUUUUCCCGGUCUCGACCGAAACAUCCACGAGCUCUACUUACCCGGAUACCCCCCCUCACUCCGGGACGGGUGACAGACUACCCUGGCUCUUGCUGGCCCCGUACAGGCACAAACUGCCGACGACUCCACGCCUUCCCGGCGUCCGAGGUCUGGCUCCAUUCUGGUCGGGAGACACGGAAGGAACACUGAACUUUUAAACUGCUUUUAAUCAAAUAAAACCUUGUUCAUUUUUUUAUACUCUCGUCUGUCUGGUUCUUCUGGUACGCUCCCCGAGGUGAUCCUGGGUUUCAGGGGUGGGUGCAGUCUGGCUUGGCCCCCCGACCUGUGACAUUUACACUUGCUUUCAAAGCAGUGUGAUACUAAAGUGUACAAUCAAAGGAGCGAAGCUGGUGAAGUCAAGCAACUUUACACAUCCUGAAAGAAACAGAAGUGCAAUUAUAAGUGAUAAGAGUAAGGAAAUUAUUUAGAGAACAGAUGAAACAGGAAGAG